UUAGCUAACUCAAUAGUAUAGUGAGUAUGAAUGAUGUGAUGGUAGGGGUGGGGUAGGAUUUAUAUCAUAGUGUGAUCAUGUGACUAAAGGUGAUUGGAUCCUAAUAUGGUGAAGGGAGCUAAUUAGACAGGGAUGGGGAGGUAUCGCAAUAAGAGGUGAUUAGUGAUAAAUAAUAAAAUAAAUAAAUAAUUAGAUAAAUAAUUACCCCUUUACAGGGUUUAUUGUUAUAGAUUUAUGAGUAUACAUUAACCCCCAAAAAACUAAAUAUGUACAUAUAUAACAAAGCCAAACAAGGAUGAUAAAUGGAAUGAUAUUAUAAUGUCCAAUCGUUAUCUAUAGUAGGUCUUAAUUUGUCACGUGGAGUACUCAAGUUAUCCAUCAUUAUAUUUACAAAGUAUACUAUUAAAACAUGACAAGUAUGUUUCGUGUUACUUGUACAAGGAACCAAUGGUUAUAUGAAAAUAAAUGGGGACUGGGAAUAUGUUGGUGCAUUAUUUAAUAGCUGGUCAUAACUGAAAAAUUCUAUAUAGGACGCGUAUGACGCCUAAGGUAUAAAAUGCAUGUUGACAUGCAUAGAGGAUUUGAAUUAGGUAUAGGAAUUGAAAAUAUUGCUAUUAGCCAUCAAAACAUAUUAGGUACAUGCAUGUCCAAAAACAUCAGGCUUUGUUUUAAUAGUCCAACUGUAUGUAAUUAAAAAGGUUGACCAAC